rnacentral:rRNA from 1 species
GACGAACGCUGGCGGCGUGCUUAACACAUGCAAGUCGAACGGAAAGGCCCCCUUGUGGGGUACUCGAGUGGCGAACGGGUGAGUAACACGUGAGUAACCUACCCUUGACUUUGGGAUAACUUCAGGAAACUGGGGCUAAUACCGGAUAGGAGCUCCUGCUGCAUGGUGGGGGUUGGAAAGUUUCGGCGGUUGGGGAUGGACUAGCGGCUUAUCAGCUUGUUGGUGGGGUAGUGGCUCACCAAGGCUUUGACGGGUAGCCGGCCUGAGAGGGUGACCGGCCACAUUGGGACUGAGAUACGGCCCAGACUCCUACGGGAGGCAGAAGUGGGGAAUAUUGAAAAAUGGGCGGAAGCCUGAUGCAGCAACGCCGCGUGCGGGAUGACGGCCUUCGGGUUGUAAACCGCUUUCGCCUGUGACGAAGCGUGAGUGACGGUAAUGGGUAAAGAAGCACCGGCUAACUACGUG